UCAGCACACCCACAUUCAGCUCAUCAAAGUUUAGGAGAUGAAAUACAGAGUUUCACAUCAAAGCCAUCAGCGCUGUCAAAAGUUUCAGUUUCUUCGAGACCGAAUUGCAAAAGCUCCCCAACAAUGGACUUAUCUCCCUACCAAGAAUUUCUGGCCUCGAAGGACCUGUGAAGAAGGCAAGGGAAGAAAGAGGUGGCUGCUGCUGCAGUGUUUGCC